GACGAACGCUGGCGGCGUGCUUAACACAUGCAAGUCGAACGGAAAGGCCCUGCUUUUGUGGGGUUCUCGAGUGGCGAACGGGUGAGUAACACGUGAGUAACCUGCACUUGAAUUUGGGAUAACUUCAGGAAACUGGGGCUAAUAUCGGAUAGGAGCUACUGCUGCAUGGUGGGGGUUGGAAAGUUUCGGCGGUUGGGGAUGGACUCGCGGCUUAUCAGCUUGUUGGUGGGGUAGUGGCUUACCAAGGCUUUGACGGGUAGCCGGCCUGAGAGGGUGACCGGCCACAUUGGGACUGCGAUACGGCCCAGACUCCUACGGGAGGCAGCAGUGGGGAAUAUUGCACAAUGGGCGGAAGCCUGAUGCAGCAACGCCGCGUGCGGGAUGACGGCCUUCGGGUUGUAAACCGCUUUCGCCUGUGACGAAGCGUGAGUGACGGUAAUGGGUAAAGAAGCACCGGCUAACUACGUG
rnacentral:rRNA from 1 species